UUACUCCUACCGGGAGGCAGCAGUGGGGAAUAUUGGACAAUGGGCGCAAGCCUGAUCCAGCCAUGCCGCGUGAGUGAUGAAGGCCCUAGGGUUGUAAAGCUCUUUCACCGGAGAAGAUAAUGACGGUAUCCGGAGAAGAAGCCCCGGCUAACUUCGUGCCAGCAGCCGCGGUAAUACGAAGGGGGCUAGCGUUGUUCGGAAUUACUGGGCGUAAAGCGCACGUAGGCGGAUCGAUCAGUCAGGGGUGAAAUCCCAGGGCUCAACCCUGGAACUGCCUUUGAUACUGUCGAUCUGGAGUAUGGAAGAGGUGAGUGGAAUUCCGAGUGUAGAGGUGAAAUUCGUAGAUAUUCGGAGGAACACCAGUGGCGAAGGCGGCUCACUGGUCCAUUACUGACGCUGAGUCGAAGCUGACCAUUG
rnacentral:rRNA from 1 species